rnacentral:rRNA from 1 species
AUUGAACGCUGGCGGCAGGUCUAACACAUGCAAGUCGAGCGGAUGAGUGGAGCUUGCUCCAUGAUUCAGCGGCGGACGGGUGAGUAAUGCCUAGGAAUCUGCCUGGUAGUGGGGGACAACGUUUCGAAAGGAACGCUAAUACCGCAUACGUCCUACGGGGGAAAGUGGGGGAUCUUCGGACCUCACGCUAUCAGAUGAGCCUAGGUCGGAUUAGCUAGUUGGUGAGGUAAAGGCUCACCAAGGCGACGAUCCGUAACUGGUCUGAGAGGAUGAACAGUCACACUGGAACUGAGACACGGUCCAGACUCCUACGGGAGGCAGCAGUGGGGAAUAUUGGACAAUGGGCGAAAGCCUGAUCCAGCCAUGCCGCGUGUGUGAAGAAGGUCUUCGGAUUGUAAAGCACUUUAAGUUGGGAGGAAGGGCAGUAAGUUAAUACCUUGCUGUUUUGACGUUACCAACAGAAUAAGCACCGGCUAACUUCGUGCCAGCCGCCGCCGUAAAAC